CCUACGGGGUGCAGCAGUGAGGAAUAUUGGUCAAUGGGCUUACGCCUGAACCAGCCAAGUCGCGUGAGGGAAGACUGCCCUAUGGGUUGUAAACCUCUUUUGUCAGGGAGCAACGCCGGCUACGUGUAGCCGGACUGAGAGUACCUGAAGAAAAAGCAUCGGCUAACUCCGUGCCAGCAGCCGCGGUAAUACGCAGGAUGCGAGCGUUAUCCGGAUUUAUUGGGUUUAAAGGGUGAGUGGGCGGAAUGCCAAGUCAGCGGUAAAAUCGCGGGGCUCAACCUCGCUCCGCCGUUGAAACUGGCGUUCUGGAGUAGGCGAGAAGUAUGCGGAAUGCGUGGUGUAGCGGUGAAAUGCAUAGAUAUCACGCAGAACUCCGAUUGCGAAGGCAGCAUACCGGCGCCCAACUGACGCUGAAGCACGAAAGCGUGGGUAUCGAACAGGAUUAGAUACCCGUGUAGUC
rnacentral:rRNA from 1 species